CCGUUUGAUGCAUUAUGGGCUAGAAAAUUGUGGGCAGAAGUGAAGUAUCCCCACACAUGCUAUGCGAUAGAAGAAGAAAUAGUUCGUUGCUUAACAGAAUGGGGCAUAAGGGGCAAAUUAUUCACUUUGACACUAGAUAAUGCCAGCAAUAAUACUAAUGCAUGUGAGGAGUUAAUAAAAUAUCACAAACAUGAGCUGCUACUUGAAGGUCAACAUUUGCAUGUCAGGUGUUGUGCACACAUUCUUAAUAUCUUGGUUCAGGAUGGAAUAAAAAUAAUCCAUGAAGCUAUUGACAUGAUACGUGAGCCGCUGAAGUAUAUUGACUCUUCUCCUUCAAGACUUCCAGAUUUUAAUACAAUUGCAAGUGGGAUGGGUCUGCCUUCAAAAAAAGGUAUCACUAUUGAUGGAACUCAACCUGGAAAAUGCUUGUAG
rnacentral:rRNA from 1 species